rnacentral:rRNA from 1 species
UAACGCGUGGAUAAUCUGCCCUGCACAGGGGGACAACAGCUAGAAAUGGCUGCUAAUACCGCAUAAGCCUACAGCCUCGCAUGAGGGAGUAGGAAAAGAAAUUCGGUGCAGGAUGAGUCCGCGUCUGAUUAGCUAGUUGGAGGGGUAAGAGCCCACCAAGGCAACGAUCAGUAGCCGGCCUGAGAGGGCGACCGGCCACAUUGGGACUGAGACACGGCCCAAACUCCUACGGGAGGCAGCAG